UACGGAGGGUGCGAGCGUUGUCCGGAAUCAUUGGGCGUAAAGGGUGCGUAGGCGGUUUUGUAAGUCUUGUGUGAAAUCUUCAGGCUCAACUUGAAGACUGCACGAGAAACUGCAGGGCUUGAGUGUGGGAGAGGUGAGUGGAAUUCAUGGUGUAGCAGUGAAAUGCGUAGAGAUCAUGAGGAAGACCAGUGGCGAAGGCGGGUCUCUGGACAGUUCCUGACACUGAGACACGAAGGCCAGGGGAGCAAACGGG
rnacentral:rRNA from 1 species